rnacentral:rRNA from 1 species
UACGGGGGGGGCAAGCGUUGUUCGGAAUUACUGGGCGUAAAGGGUUCGUAGGCGGCCAACUAAGUCAGACGUGAAAUCCCUCAGCUUAACUGGGGAACUGCGUCUGAGACUGGAUGGCUUGAGUGCAGGAGAGGAACGCGGAAUUCCAGGUGUAGCGGUGAAAUGCGUAGAUAUCUGGAGGAACACCGGUGGCGAAGGCGGCGUUCUGGACUGCAACUGACACUGAGGAACGAAAGCCAGGGGAGCAAACGGG